rnacentral:misc_RNA from 1 species
GAAAUGCGAUAAGUAAUGUGAAUUGCAGAAUCCAGUGAAUCAUCGAAUCUUUGAACGCAACUCGCGCCCUCUGGUAUUCCGGAGGGCAUGCCUGUUUGAGUGUCAUGAACACCUCAACCCCUCGAUGGUUUUGCAUCGAAGGUGUUGGUAGUGAGCGCUGCCGGACCUUGAAUCGGCUCGCUUUAAAAUCAUUAGCUGGAUCCAUUCUGACCUGGUUCUACUCGGCGUAAUAAGUCGUUAUCGUCGAGGACGCUGGCCUUCCAGGCAGGCGGCCACAGUAAGGGUGUUUUGAACCGCUUCCAACACGUCUUGCUCUCGUAGCAAACGCCUUGAACCUCUGACCUCAAAUCAGGCAGGACUACCCGCUGAACUUAA